rnacentral:rRNA from 1 species
UUUUGGACAAUGGGCGCAAGCCUGAUCCAGCAAUGCCGCGUGCAGGAAGAAGGCCUUCGGGUUGUAAACUGCUUUUGUACGGAACGACACGGUCCUGGUUAAUACCUGGGGCUAAUGACGGUACCGUAAGAAUAAGCACCGGCUAACUACGUGCCAGCAGCCGCGGUAAUACGUAGGGUGCAAGCGUUAAUCGGAAUUACUGGGCGUAAAGCGUGCGCAGGCGGUUUUGUAAGACAGGCGUGAAAUCCCCGGGCUUAACCUGGGAAUGGCGCUUGUGACUGCAAAGCUGGAGUGCGGCAGAGGGGGAUGGAAUUCCGCGUGUAGCAGUGAAAUGCGUAGAUAUGCGGAGGAACACCGAUGGCGAAGGCAAUCCCCUGGGCAGUACACUGACGCUCAUGCACGAAG